UACAGUCAUAACAUGGUAAAACACCAGUUCCCGUACGAUUACCGAAGUUAAGCAACGUCGAGCCUGGUCAGUACGUAAAUGGAUGACUGCUCGGAAUAUCAGGUGGUGUAAG